CUCCCAAAUUGAUUUUAUGCUUGCAUAAAUGAUUUUUGGAUUCGGAGCGAGUGGCGAACUGGUGAGUAACACGUGGGUAACCUGCCCCGAAGCGGGGGAUAACAUUUGGAAACAAGUGCUAAUACCGCAUAAUUAGUUGGAACCGCAUGGUUCCAACUUGAAAGAUGGCUCUGCUAUCACUUUGGGAUGGACCCGCGCCGUAUUAGUUAGUUGGUGAGAUAAAAGCCCACCAAGACGAUGAUACGUAGCCGACCUGAGAGGGUAAUCGGCCACAUUGGGACUGAGACACGGCCCAGACUCCUACGGGAGGCAGCAGUAGGGAAUCUUCCACAAUGGACGAAAGUCUGAUGGAGCAACGCCGCGUGAGUGAUGAAGGUUUUCGGAUCGUAAAACUCUGUUGUUAAAGAAGAACAAGUGUUAGAGUAACUGUUAACACUUUGACGGUAUUUAACCAGAAAGCCACGGCUAACUACGUGCCAGCAGCCGCGGUAAUACGUAGGUGGCAAGCGUUGUCCGGAUUUAUUGGGCGUAAAGCGAGCGCAGGCGGUUUUGUAAGUCUGCUGUGAAAGCCCUCAGCUCAACUGAGGAAGUGCAGUGGAAACUACAAAACUUGAGUACAGAAGAGGAAAGUGGAACUCCAUGUGUAGCGGUGAAAUGCGUAGAUAUAUGGAAGAACACCAGUGGCGAAGGCGGCUUUCUGGUCUGUUACUGACGCUGAGGCUCGAAAGCAUGGGUAGCGAACAGGAUUAGAUACCCUGGUAGUCCAUGCCGUAAACGAUGAAUACUAGGUGUUGGAGGGUUUCCGCCCUUCAGUGCCGCAGCUAACGCAUUAAGUAUUCCGCCUGGGGAGUACGACCGCAAGGUUGAAACUCAAAGGAAUUGACGGGGGCCCGCACAAGUGGUGGAGCAUGUGGUUUAAUUCGAUGCUACGCGAAGAACCUUACCAGCUCUUGACAUCUUCUGCCAACCCAAGAGAUUGGGCGUUCCCUUCGGGGACAGAAUGACAGGUGGUGCAUGGUUGUCGUCAGCUCGUGUCGUGAGAUGUUGGGUUAAGUCCCGCAACGAGCGCAACCCUUAUUAUUAGUUGCCAGCAUUUAGUUGGGCACUCUAGUGAGACUGCCGGUGAUAAACCGGAGGAAGGUGGGGACGACGUCAAAUCAUCAUGCCCCUUAUGAGCUGGGCUACACACGUGCUACAAUGGAUGGUACAACGAGUCGCGAAACCGCGAGGUCAAGCUAAUCUCUUAAAGCCAUUCUCAGUUCGGAUUGCAGGCUGCAACUCGCCUGCAUGAAGUGGAA
rnacentral:rRNA from 2 species